AGAGUUUGAUCCUGGCUCAGGAUGAACGCUAGCUACAGGCUUAACACAUGCAAGUCGAGGGGAAACGACAUCGAAAGCUUGCUUUUGAUGGGCGUCGACCGGCGCACGGGUGAGUAACGCGUAUCCAACCUGCCCAUCACUUGGGGAUAACCUUGCGAAAGUAAGACUAAUACCCAAUGACGUCUCUAGAAGACAUCUGAAAGAGAUUAAAGAUUUAUCGGUGAUGGAUGGGGAUGCGUCUGAUUAGCUUGUUGGCGGGGUAACGGCCCACCAAGGCGACGAUCAGUAGGGGUUCUGAGAGGAAGGUCCCCCACAUUGGAACUGAGACACGGUCCAAACUCCUACGGGAGGCAGCAGUGAGGAAUAUUGGUCAAUGGGCGAGAGCCUGAACCAGCCAAGUAGCGUGCAGGAUGACGGCCCUAUGGGUUGUAAACUGCUUUUGCCUGGGGGCAAUAAGGGCGCCGCGCGCGUCCGAUGAGAGUACCAGGCGAAUAAGCAUCGGCUACUCCGUGCCAGCAGCCGCGGUAAUACGGGGGAUGCGAGCGUUAUCCGGAUUCAUUGGGUUUAAAGGGUGCGUAGGCUGUGCGUCAAGUCGGGGGUGAAAUUCCGGUGCUCAACACCGGGGCUGCCCUUGAUACUGUCGCGCUGGAGUGCGGAUGCCGCCGGAGGAAUGAGUGGUGUAGCGGUGAAAUGCUUAGAUAUCACUCAGAACACCGAUUGCGAAGGCAUCUGGCGAAUCCGUAACUGACGCUGAGGCACGAAAGCGUGGGGAUAGAACAGGAUUAGAUACCCUGGUAUUCCACGCCGUAAACGAUGAUGGCUAACCGCCGGCGGCAUACAGUCGGUGGCCAAGCGAAAGCGAUAAGCCAUCCACCUGGGGAGUACGUCGGCAACGAUGAAACUCAAAGGAAUUGACGGGGGCCCGCACAAGCGGAGGAACAUGUGGUUUAAUUCGAAGCAACGCGAAGAACCUUACCAGGUCUUGACAUCCGACUAACGAGAUAGAGAUAUGUCAGGUGCCCUUCGGGGAAAGUCGAGACAGGUGGUGCAUGGUUGUCGUCAGCUCGUGUCGUGAGAUGUUGGGUUAAGUCCCGCAACGAGCGCAACCCCUGCCAUUAGUUGCUACGCAAGAGCACUCUAAUGGGACCGCUACCGACAAGGUGGAGGAAGGUGGGGACGACGUCAAAUCAUCAUGCCCCUUAUGACCUGGGCUACACACGUAAUACAAUGGUCAUUAACAGAGGGAAGCAAAGCCGCGAGGCAGAGCAAAACCCCAAAAAUGAUCUCAGUUCGGAUCGCAGGCUGCAACCCGCCUGCGUGAAGUUGGAAUUGCUAGUAAUCGCAGAUCAGCAUGCUGCGGUGAAUACGUUCCCGGGUCUUGCACACACCGCCCGUCAAG
rnacentral:rRNA from 1 species